rnacentral:tRNA from 1 species
GCCCUGGUGGCACAAGGUUAAGCACUCAGCUGUUAACUGAGAGACUGGAGGUUUGAAUCCACCCAGAGGCU